rnacentral:rRNA from 1 species
UACAGAGGUGGCAAGCGUUGUUCGGAAUUACUGGGCGUAAAGGGCGCGUAGGCGGUCCUCUAAGUCCCGUGUGAAAGUUCUUGGCUCAACCGGGGAACUGCACGGGAAACUGGAAGGCUUGAAUUCGGGAGAGGGAAGCGGAAUUCCGGGUGUAGCGGUGAAAUGCGUAGAUAUCAGGAGGAACACCGGUGGCGAAGGCGGCCCUCUGGACGGAUACUGACGCUGAGACGCGAAAGCGUGGGGAGCAAACAGG